CAAAGUCUCAUUUGACUCCUGAAGUGAUGUCUGGCUACGUGGCUCCUAUCGGUUCACUCUCUCGCCGGCUUCGCUGACAGAAAGAUCCGAGGCGUAGGCGGGAGCCCCGAGGAGAGGAGAGGGCGAUGGAGGGGGCGAGGAUGAGUGUGAAGGAUGGUAGUCAUUCGGACUUCCUUGUGCAGUCACGUUGGCCGAAAUGACCAGUGCAUUGUUACGAAUCACCACUUGCUCUAAACCACAGGGGAAGAACAGCCGAUAAUCGCCAUCUUUAUAUUCGUCUUUUGGAAUACCGAAUUUCGUGCAUUUUGGAGAAAGACUUCACCACUUGGCAUACUGCUCACUGUACAUUUCGAGAAAAGCAUAAAAAAAAACAUUGUAUUUAGAAAUCAUCAUUGUUAUCUUAUCAUUGCCAUAAUAAUUUCCAUUUUUUUGCCUUAACGACCAAUAACAUUGUUACGGAACACGACCUGUAUCGCGUCGUCGAUUUUACUCACUAAUCUUUUUAUUCGUGAACGCCAAAUUUGAUUCACUAUAAAGAAACGACUUCUACUGGCAAAUACUGGUCAUCUUAUGUUUCGUGAAAUGGAUGAAAAAAAUCGUUAUUGUUCGAAAUCAUCACUAUUAUGAUGAAUAUUAUCAUUUAUUCUUAGUGUAUCAAUAGCGUUUCCAUUCACGUUAACUGUCUUCUUUUAUUUUUUAUGCAUCAUUACUAACAAGCUUAUUUUUCAAAAGAUACUAUUAUGAAAAAAAUCGCAUUUAUUGAAAUAAACAUAUCGUUGCAAGUUCUAUUGAAUUAAUGACUUUAUUACCACUAUGAAAAUCUGUCUUUGUAAUAAUCAUUUUGUUGCAAAGAAAACUUGAAUAACAACAACCUCUUCAUAUAGGAAGUCUCUUAAUUAAGUUUCACCUUUUUUGUAACAAUUAAUUUCAUCGUUUAAGUAACAUUAUUUUCACCGUCAUUAUUGCUUUU